rnacentral:sRNA from 1 species
UAAUCUGUUACGCAGACGACACGUUGAU